UACGUAGGGUGCGAGCGUUGUCCGGAAUUAUUGGGCGUAAAGAGCUCGUAGGCGGUGCGUCACGUCGGCCGUGAAAACCUGCAGCUUAACUGUGGGCGUGCGGUCGAUACGGGCAUCACUGGAGUUCGGCAGGGGAGACUGGAAUUCCUGGUGUAGCGGUGAAAUGCGCAGAUAUCAGGAGGAACACCGGUGGCGAGGGCGGGUCUCUGGGCCGAUACUGACGCUGAGGAGCGAAAGCGUGGGGAGCAAACAGG
rnacentral:rRNA from 1 species